ACGUAUGGUGCAAGCGUUAUCCGGAUUUACUGGGUGUAAAGGGAGCGUAGACGGCUGUGUAAGUCUGAAGUGAAAGCCCGGAGCUCAACCCCGGGACUGCUUUGGAAACUAUGCAGCUAGAGUGUCGGAGAGGUAAGUGGAAUUCCCAGUGUAGCGGUGAAAUGCGUAGAUAUUGGGAGGAACACCAGUGGCGAAGGCGGCUUACUGGACGAUGACUGACGUUGAGGCUCGAAAGCGUGGGGAGCAAACAG
rnacentral:rRNA from 1 species